rnacentral:rRNA from 1 species
AUACAGAGGGUGCGAGCGUUAAUCGGAAUUACUGGGCGUAAAGCGUGUGUAGGUGGUUGUAUAAGUUAGAUGUGAAAGCCCCCGGGCUUAACCUGGGAAUUGCGUUUAAGACUGUAUGACUAGAGUACUGUAGAGGAUAGUGGAAUUUCCAGUGUAGCGGUGAAAUGCGUAGAUAUUGGAAGGAACACCAGUGGCGAAGGCGACUAUCUGGAUAGAUACUGACACUGAGACACGAAAGCGUGGGGAGC